GACGAGGGGUCCAAGCGUUGUUCGGAAUCAUUGGGCGUAAAGCGGGUGUAGGUGGCUCUGUAAGUCAGGAGUGAAAGCCCCGAGCUUAACUUGGGAAGUGCUUUUGAUACUGCAGAACUUGGGUGUGGGAGAGGAUCGUGGAAUUCCAGGUGUAGUGGUGAAAUACGUAGAUAUCUGGAGGAACACCGGUGGCGAAGGCGGCGAUCUGGCCCAACACUGACAC
rnacentral:rRNA from 1 species